GACGAACGCUGGCGGCGUGCCUAAUACAUGCAAGUCGAGCGGACCUCUUCGGAGGUCAGCGGCGGACGGGUGAGUAACACGUGGGCAACCUGCCUGUAAGACUGGGAUAACACCGGGAAACCGGUGCUAAUACCGGAUAAUCCUUUUCCUCACAUGAGGGGACGCUGAAAGACGGUUUCGGCUGUCACUUACAGAUGGGCCCGCGGCGCAUUAGCUAGUUGGUGGGGUAACGGCCCACCAAGGCGACGAUGCGUAGCCGACCUGAGAGGGUGAUCGGCCACACUGGGACUGAGACACGGCCCAGACUCCUACGGGAGGCAGCAGUAGGGAAUCUUCCGCAAUGGACGAAAGUCUGACGGAGCAACGCCGCGUGAGCGAAGAAGGCCUUCGGGUCGUAAAGCUCUGUUGUCAGGGAAGAACACGUACCGGAGUAACUGCCGGUACCUUGACGGUACCUGACCAGAAAGCCACGGCUAACUACGUGCCAGCAGCCGCGGUAAUAC
rnacentral:rRNA from 1 species